rnacentral:rRNA from 1 species
GACGAACGCUGGCGGCGUGCUUAACACAUGCAAGUCGAACGGAAAGGCCCCUUCGGGGGUACUCGAGUGGCGAACGGGUGAGUAACACGUGAGUAACCUGCCCUUGACUUCGGGAUAACUUCAGGAAACUGGGGCUAAUACCGGAUAGGAAUCCUUGCUGCAUGGUGGGGGUUGGAAAGCUUCGGCGGUUUUGGAUGGACUCGCGGCUUAUCAGCUUGUUGGUGGGGUAGUGGCUUACCAAGGCUUUGACGGGUAGCCGGCCUGAGAGGGCGACCGGCCACAUUGGGACUGAGAUACGGCCCAGACUCCUACGGGAGGCAGCAGUGGGGAAGAUUGCACAAUGGGCGGAAGCCUGAUGCAGCAACGCCGCGUGCGGGAGGACGGCCUUCGGGUUGUAAACCGCUUUCAGCAGGGGCGAAGCUUGUGGUGACGGUACCUGCAGAAGAAGCACCGGCUAACUACGUG